rnacentral:rRNA from 1 species
UACGGGGGGGCAAGCGUUGUUCGGAAUUACUGGGCGUAAAGGGCUCGUAGGCGGCCAACUAAGUCGGACGUGAAAUCCCCAGGCUCAACCUGGGAACUGCGUCUGAUACUGGAUGGCUUGAAUCCGGGAGAGGGAUGCGAAUUCAGGUGUAGCGGUGAAAUGACGUAGAUAUCUGGAGGAACACCAGUGGCGAAGGCGGCUCACUGGACUGGUAUUGACGCUGAGGUGCGAAAGCGUGGGGAGCAAACAGGG